CCUACGGGUGGCAGCAGUGGGGAAUAUUGCACAAUGGGGGAAACCCUGAUGCAGCGACGCCGCGUGAGUGAAGAAGUAUUUCGGUACGUAAAGCUCUAUCAGCAGGGAAGAAAAUGACGGUACCUGACUAAGAAGCCCCGGCGAACUACGUGCCAGCAGCCGCGGUAAUACGUAGGGGGCAAGCGUUAUCCGGAUUUACUGGCUGUAAAGGGGGCGUAGGCGGCAGCGCAAGUCUGGGGUGAAAUCCCAUGGCUUAACCAUGGAACGGCUUUGGAAACUGUGCAGAUAGAGUGCAGGAGAGGUAAGCGGAAUUCCUAGUGUAGCGGUGAAAUGCGUAGAUAUAAGGAGGAACACCAGUGGCGAAGGCGGCUUACUGGACUGUAACUGACGUUGAGGCUCGAAAGCGUGGGGAGCAAACAGGAUUAGAUACCCGAGUAGUC
rnacentral:rRNA from 1 species